rnacentral:rRNA from 1 species
AUUGAACGCUGGCGGCGUGCUUAACACAUGCAAGUCGUGCGAGAAAGGGGGCUUCGGUCCCUGAGUAGAGCGGCGCACGGGUGAGUAACGCGUGGAUUAUCUCCCUCAUUGUUUGGGAUAACGGCGGGAAACUGCCGCUAAUACCGGAUACGCUCCAAUUUCGGUUGGGGGAAAGGCGGCCUCUGCUUGCAAGCUGUCGCAAUGAGAUGAGUCCGCGUCCCAUUAGCUUGUUGGUGGGGUAAUGGCCCACCAAGGCAACGAUGGGUAGCUGGUCUGAGAGGAUGAUCAGCCACACUGGAACUGAAACACGGUCCAGACUCCUACGGGAGGCAGCAGUGGGGAAUAUUGCGCAAUGGGGGAAACCCUGACGCAGCGACGCCGUGUGAGGGAAGAAGGCUUUCGGGUCGUAAACCUCUGUCAGGAAGGAAGAACCUCUCAAGGCUGAACAAGCCUUGGGACUGACGGUACUUCCAGAGGAAGCACCGGCUAACUCCGUG